AACGAACGCUGGCGGCGCGUCUUAAGCAUGCAAGUCGAACGGCAAGAGAGGAGCUUGCUUCUCUCCUAGAGUGGCGGACUGGUGAGGAACACGUGGGUAAUCUACCCUUAAGAUGGGGAUAGCUGCUAGAAAUAGCAGGUAAUACCGAAUACACUCGGCAUAUCACAAGAGGUGUUGAGGAAAGGAAGCUACGGCUUCGCUUGAGGAUGAGCUUGCGUCCCAUUAGCUAGUUGGUGAGGUAAAGGCCCACCAAGGCGACGAUGGGUAUCCGGCCUGAGAGGGUGAACGGACACAUUGGGACUGAGAUACGGCCCAAACUCCUACGGGAGGCAGCAGCUAAGAAUAUUCCGCAAUGGACGGAGGUCUGACGGAGCGACGCCGCGUGGAUGAAGAAGGCUGAAAAGUUGUAAAAUCCUUUUGUUGAUGAAGAAUAAGGGUGAGAGGGAAUGCUCAUCUGAUGACGGUAAUCGACGAAUAAGCCCCGGCUAAUUACGU
rnacentral:rRNA from 1 species